rnacentral:rRNA from 1 species
CCUACGGGAGGCAGCAGUGGGGAAUAUUGGGCAAUGGGCGCAAGCCUGACCCAGCAACGCCGCGUGAAGGAAGAAGGCUUUCGGGUUGUAAACUUCUUUUCUCAGGGACGAAGCAAGUGACGGUACCUGAGGAAUAAGCCACGGCUAACUACGUGCCAGCAGCCGCGGUAGUACGUAGGCGGCAAUCGUUAUCCGGAUUUACUGGGUGUAAAGGGCGUGUAGGCGGGGACGCAAGUCAGAUGUGAAAACCACGGGCUCAACCUGUGGCCUGCAUUUGAAACUGUGUGUCUUGAGUACUGGAGAGGCAGACGGAAUGCCUAGUGUAGCGGUGAAAUGCGUAGAUAUUAGGAGGAACACCAGUGGCGAAGGCGGUCUGCUGGACGGCAACUGACGCUGAGGCGCGAAAGCGUGGGGAGCAAACAGGAUUAGAUACCCCAGUAGUC